UGGAACUAGAAACACCUUUUUCCAAGACAGGUGCUUGAGCAGCCUUGAGCACAGCAGCCUCACACUGGAAGGGUAGAGAGACAGCGGAGAGGCUUCCUAAAAUUCUUUUUUUUUUUUUUUUUCUAAAAUUCUUUUAUCCACUGAGCAUCCUUACUGUGCAUCACGUGCCGAGGGAUUAUACGUGGAAUCAAGGUGCUUAAGAGUUUGAAAAGAGUUUGGGACCCACUGAGCUGCCUGGCAAAUCAAGAUGUGACUACAGUACCUGACAAACAUUAAUUUAGCAGCGCCCAUUAAGAAGUAAGCCCCAUGGGGAAGGGAAUUUUGCACGUUAGACUAGUAUUAUGGUUACAAUAAGAACAAAGACAGCAACGAUAGCAGCUACUCCCUAUUGAGGACCUGUGAUGCAUAGCACAAUGGUCCAGUUUUCAAAUAUUAGCUCAUUUAAUCUUUCACCAGCCUUAUGAUAUAGAUAUGAUCCUCAUUUCAUGGCUGAGGAAACUGUGACUUGGAUUGGAAAAUCAACUUGCCUGACAUCACACAGAGCUGAAGGCUUAGAGGAGCAAAGAUGAAACCCGAAUCAGCCAUUGAAGAGCAGGGAAAUGGAGAAUGGAGAAGUGCUUUACCAAUUAGAAGAUACCGGCUGAAUCUUCUGGCCCUGAAAGGAGAGAACAUUUUACCAAGUUGAGAAAAGUAACUGUCAGUGGGACAGAGCCAAUCCAAGGCAACCCUUGCAGGAGCUGGACUAUUCAAUAAAUACUCAGACCUCACUCUUCUCCUUCUCUCU
rnacentral:lncRNA from 12 species